ensembl:lncRNA
GCAAUUACUAUUCAUUUAUAUGGGAAAAAUUUCUGAGCAUUCCCAGACCUGAAAAACAACCUACCAAAUCAUAUCAAAUAACACAUAAAACCUAAAAUAACACCAGUAUACAGUAAAAGCAGGAAUGAUAUUAUAAAUACACAGCCUAUAUAAAGUAGAAAUAAUGUCUGUACAGUGUAGUGUCACUUACCAGAAUCGGGAAGCCAGCGAGCACACUGGAAGGCUGAGUGGUGGCAGUGGUGGUGAUGGGGUGUUGGGCUCAGCCAUCAGAGGUUGGGGUGGUGGAAGGUACAGGAGAUGGGGUGUAGGAGAGAGAGGAAGAGAGUCAUCUAUCAACACCUCAUUGUCGUCUGAAUCCAUCAGGGCAGGCAGGUCACUGACAUCUACACCUUUUAUGUCUGCCUGCCUCCAUGUCCAAGGUCAAGGUUCAUCAUCUGCUGUGGUUGAUGUGGCUGAUGCAAAAGCUUGAAAUAUGACGGUAUGCUUGACUGCUUAACCUUAUAACGCUUUGAUACAAAACAAACGCUGAACGCUAUUUUCGCUUUUCUCCUUUUUCUGUAAAAGCAAAAAUCCUCUUCGAAUUUCUUUCAUUUAGCAAAAACAGGCACUAAUGUAGGUCUCUAGUAAAAGCAAAGUGGCGUAAAGUGAACUUUCAGACAGCAGGGGAAACCUGUAUUUAACUACCUUCUCUCAGCCCCUACAUCCCACACAUUCUCCUCCAUAAAAUCAGCUAGAAUUCUCCGCGUGGGAAGGAAGGGAGAUGGGGAGGAAGAGAGACUCGCACCUGAGAAGCCAUAUCAGAAUAUCAAUAGCACGUGUGGCAGUUUCCCAUCAUGUGAUUCUGAUCAAGCAUCCCCGCCACGGGUUGACUCCCAGCCUCCUGCUGAGAGUGUCCCUGUCACAGAGGUUUAUUCCAGUGGAGGAUUUGGACAUUCAGAGAUUUAGCUGAAAUGCAUGUGAAUAGAUUACUACUAAGAGAUUUACCUUGAAAUAUUUUGAGAGUAACUCUCCUGAGAUGCUGAAAACACUUCAACCUCGACAUUUCGGUAAAAAGAGCCUCUAGGUCCAUUGGUUCAACAUCAGGUUCUGCUGCUAUGAUCGACUUGCUGGCUCAACUCUGCAUUAUUGCCACUCUGGGACCCUGAGCUUCACAGACUCCUUCCUGAUCGCUGAGCAAUCUCACAGAUGUGGCCCAGCGUCCAAGAUGACAUUUGGACUGCUGAAGCUGACGAGGACAAAAAGAGAAACGAGGGUGGGGAAGAGAGAGAGAGAAGAAAUAUGAAGUCAGGGCUUCCGAAAUCCCACAAGCUCGUCUAUCCUUUUAAAUCCAAAAGUGAAGGAUUAUGGUUCAAGUGACUUCAAGUUGGAAUUAAAUGGUUCGAAGAAAUACGACCAUUUCAGAAAAAAACAUACUUUUUCUGAAAAGAAAAGAAGAAAUUUUUAAAUGUGUAUUUUUUUAUACAUAGUAGCCAUAAUAUUUCCUGUGAUCAGAGGAGUAUGACAUAAAGCUCAACAGCACCGUGAAAAACAAAGUCAUUCCUCAGAAAUGAGGUGUAAUAUCUUUUAUUGGAUAAAUAAGAACUAUUAGAA